rnacentral:rRNA from 1 species
AUUGAACGCUGGCGGCAGGCCUAACACAUGCAAGUCGAGCGAGCGGCGGACGGGUGAGUAAUGUCUGGGAAACUGCCUGAUGGAGGGGGGUAACUACUGGAAACGGGAGCUAAUACCGCAUACCAUCAGAGGUGCCCAGAUGGGAUUAGCUCGUAGGGGGGGGAACGGCGCACCUAGGCGACGAUCCCUAGCUGGUCUGAGAGGAUGACCAGCCACACUGGAACUGAGACACGGUCCAGACUCCUACGGGAGGCAGCAGUGGGGAAUAUUGCACAAUGGGCGCAAGCCUGAUGCAGCCAUGCCGCGUGUAUGAAGAAGGCCUUCGGGUUGUAAAGUACUUUCAGCGGGGAGGCGUUACCCGCAGAAGAAGCGCCGGCUAACUCCGUGCCAGCCGCCGCGGUAAUUC